rnacentral:sRNA from 1 species
CACUAGCCCAGACAGCAAUGAAAAGCCCGGAGGCCCAAAAAGUAGUUUUUCUUGGUAUAAAAAAGCGACCAGAGGAAGCUCUUUUUAUACCAUAGAAAAACACUUUUUUGGGGCGAGGACUUGUAAUGUAUGGCUGGAAAUAGC